GGACUACUCAACGAUGUGCCCAGGGAGCUAUAUCGGCAUCACGGCGCAGGUCAUCGCCGCGAUGGGAAGGCGAGGAAGAGGGGCAAGAGAGGCGGCGUGAGACAGCGCACUCGGAGGGCUAGUAAGUUACCGCUGCCUCAGAUGCUGCUUUGUAACUCCCGCUCCCUGAGAAAUAAGCUGGAUGAACUGCGUUUACUGGCCAGGGGUUGCUAUGAAUACCGUGAGUCAGGUCUAAUGAUUUUCACUGAGACUUGGUUUAGUAAAGAUGUACCAGACAAUUUCGUACAGGUAGACGGGUUUUCUCAUGUACGUCUGGACAGAGACGCAAAUUCGGGCAAAGUAGGGGGAGGAGGAGUAUGUAUUUAUAUCAAAGACAGUUGGUGCUCAAACUUUGCAAUAAGAGACACUAUAUGCAAUCCGGACUUGGAGCUAUUGUGUGUUACUUUACGUCCACACUACCUGCCAAGAGAAUUUAGCAACAUUUUUGUGUGCGCUGUCUAUGUCCCACCAAGUGGGAAUGCCAACAGAGCAGCAAAUCAAAUUGCUGACUGUGUCCAUCGUCACCUACAAAACAAACCUGACGCCCCAAUACUGAUACUAGGGGAUUUUAACCACAGCAGCCUGAACAAGAGUCUACCUGGUUUUUAUCAAUAUGUGAAGUGCAACACCAGGAAAAACAACAUUCUUGACAAGUGCUAUGGUAAUGUCAGGGAUGCUUAUACAGCCAGAGCCAAACCUCCCCUUGCCAACUCUGACCACAAUGCAAUUCAUCUGCUACCUACAUAUCGGUCAGUCUUUAAGUCCAGCAAACCAGAAAUCCGAACUGUAAAGGUGUGGUCGGACGAUAAGAUUGAGGAACUGAAAGGAUGUUUUCUCUUGACAGACUGGGACGUCUUUUUCAAGGAGGCGGACAUUGACAGGGCAACAGAAUCCACAACUGCCUACAUCUCCUUUUGUGUUGACUCCAUCAUUCCACAGAAAACUAUUAAGAUAUAUCCGAACAAUAAACCUUACAUAACAAAAGAAAUUAAGGAGUGUAUUAAGUGGAAAAAGUCUGCCUUUAAACUUAGUGAUACAGAUGGAGUCAAAACAGCUCAAAAA
ensembl:lncRNA